CCAGAUCUUCCCCAAAACUUAGAUCUGCAGAUGUUGUAGAACUACAACUCCCAUGAUGCUUUGCAUGCCUUUAGAAUGCUUUAGAAUUCCAAAGCAUCAUAAAAGCUAUACUUUAAAAACUUAUGGAACUACCUUUUGAGCACCCCUGAUCUAUACAUUUCUGUAUUAAGUUGUGUGCUCCUAUACCUUUCAUCAGCGGAUACUCUGAACAUUAG